CGGGGUGAGUAAUGUCUGGGAAACUGCCUGAUGGAGGGGGAUAACUGCUGGAAACGGUAGCUAAUACCGCAUAACGUCGCAAGACCAAAGAAGGGGACCUUCGGGCCUCUUGCCAUCGGAUGUGCCCAGAUGGGAUUAGCUAGUAGGUGGGGUAACGGCUCACCUAGGCGACGAUCCCUAGCUGGUCUGAGAGGAUGACCAGCCACACUGGAACUGAGACACGGUCCAG
rnacentral:rRNA from 1 species